AACGAACGCUGGCGGCGCGCUUAACACAUGCAAGUCGAACGAGAAGGCGUAGCAAUACGCUUGUAAAGUGGCGAACGGGUGAGGAAUACGUGGGUAACCUACCCUCGAGUGGGGAUAACCCGCCGAAAGGCGGGCUAAUACCGCGUACGCUUCCGAUCUUGCGGGAUCGGAAGGAAAGCUGUCCCAAGGGGAUGGCGCUCAAGGAUGGGCUCAUGUCCUAUCAGCUUGUUGGUAGGGUAACGGCCUACCAAGGCAUCGACGGGUAGCUGGUCUGAGAGGACGAUCAGCCACACUGGCACUGCGACACGGGCCAGACUCCUACGGGAGGCAGCAGUGAGGAAUAUUGCGCAAUGGGCGAAAGCCUGACGCAGCGACGCCGCGUGGGGGAUGAAGGUCUUCGGAUUGUAAACCCCUUUCGGGAGGGAAGACGGCCUUAGACAACUAAGGCGGACGGUACCUCCAGAAGCAGCCACGGCUAACUUCGUGCC
rnacentral:rRNA from 1 species